GUAACGGCUCACCUAGGCGACGAUCCCUAGCUGGUCUGAGAGGAUGACCAGCCACACUGGAACUGAGACACGGUCCAGACUCCUACGGGAGGCAGCAUG
rnacentral:rRNA from 1 species